rnacentral:rRNA from 1 species
GGGGAGCAAACAGGAUUAGAGACCCUGGUAGUCCACGCUGUAAACGAUGUCGAUUUAGAGGUUGUGGUCUUGAACCGUGGCUUCUGGAGCUAACGCGUUAAAUCGACCGCCUGGGGAGUACGGCCGCAAGGUUAAAACUCAAAUGAAUUGACGGGGGCCCGCACAAGCGGUGGAGCAUGUGGUUUAAUUCGAUGCAACGCGAAGAACCUUACCUACUCUUGACAUCCAGCGAAUCCUUUAGAGAUAGAGGAGUGCCUUCGGGAGCGCUGAGACAGGUGCUGCAU